UACGUAGGGUGCAAGCGUUAAUCGGAAUUACUGGGCGUAAAGCGUGCGCAGGCGGUUUUGUAAGUCUGUCGUGAAAUCCCCGGGCUCAACCUGGGAAUUGCGAUGGAGACUGCAAGGCUGGAGUCUGGCAGAGGGGGGUAGAAUUCCACGUGUGAGCAGUGAAAUGCGUAGAGAUGUGGAGGAACACCGAUGGCGAAGGCAGCCUUCUGGGCCAACACUGACGCUCAUGCACGAAAGCGUGGGGAGCAAACAGG
rnacentral:rRNA from 1 species